UUUAAUGGAGCUCAGUGGUAGAGCGCUUGCCUUGCAAGUGUGAGGCACUGGGUUUAAUCCUCAGCACCACAUAAAAA
rnacentral:tRNA from 1 species